UGGGGGAUAUUGCACAAUGGGGGAAACCCUGAUGCAGCAACGCCGCGUGUGGGAAGAAGGUUUUCGGAUUGUAAACCACUGUUCUUGGUGAAGAUAAUGACGGUAACCAAGGAGAAAGCUCCGGCUAACUACGUGCCAGCAGCCGCGGUAAUACGUAGGGAGCAAGCGUUGUCCGGAUUUACUGGGUGUAAAGGGUGCGUAGGCGGCUAGGCAAGUCAGGCGUGAAAACCAUGGGCUCAACCUGUGGACUGCGUUUGAAACUGUUUAGCUUGAGUGAAGUAGAGGUAGGCGGAAUUCCCGGUGUAGCGGUGAAAUGCGUAGAGAUCGGGAGGAACACCAGUGGCGAAGGCGGCCUACUGGGCUUUAACUGACGCUGAGGCACGAAAGCAUGGGUAGCAAACAGG
rnacentral:rRNA from 1 species